UACGAAGGGGGCUAGCGUUGUUCGGAAUUACUGGGCGUAAAGCGCGCGCAGGCGGCUAUCCAAGUCAGUGGUGAAAGCCCGGAGCUCAACUCCGGAACUGCCAUUGAAACUGUUUAGCUUGAGGAUGAGAGAGGUGAGUGGAAUUCCCAGUGUAGAGGUGAAAUUCGUAGAUAUUGGGAAGAACACCGGUGGCGAAGGCGGCUCACUGGCUCGUUUCUGACGCUCAGGCGCGACAGCGUGGGGAUCAAACAGG
rnacentral:rRNA from 1 species